rnacentral:rRNA from 1 species
CGCGUAGGCGGUUUGAUAAGUCAGAUGUGAAAGCCCACGGCUUAACCGUGGAAGUGCAUUUGAUACUGUCAGACUUGAGUACCAGAGGGGAAAGUGGAAUUCCCGGUGUAGAGGUGAAAUUCGUAGAUAUCGGGAGGAAUACCGGUGGCGAAGGCGACUUUCUGGCUGAGUACUGACGCUGAGGCGCGAAAGCGUGGGGAGCAAACA